GACGCAGCUAACGCAUUAAGCGCCCCGCCUGGGGAGUACGAUCGCAAGAUUAAAACUCAAAGGAAUUGACGGGGCCCCGCACAAGCAGCGGAGCAUUGCGGCUUAAUUCGACGCAACGCGAAGAACCUUACCAAGGCUUGACAUAUACAGGAAUACGGCAGAAGAUGUCGUAGCCGCAAGGUCUGUAUACAGGUGGUGCAUGGUUGUCGUCAGCUCGUGUCGUGAGAUGUUGGGUUAAGUCCCGCAACGAGCGCAACCCUCGUUCUGUGUUGCCAGCAUUUAGUUGGGGACUCACAGGAGACUGCCGGGGUUAACUCGGAGGAAGGUGGGGAUGACGUCAAAUCAUCAUGCCCCUUAUGUCUUGGGCUGCACGCAUGCUACAAUGGCUGGUACAAACGGCUGCAAUACCGCAAGGUGGAGCGAAUCCGAGAAAGCCAGUCUCAGUUCGGAUUGGGGUCUGCAACUCGACCCCAUGAAGUCGGAGUUGCUAGUAAUCGUAGAUCAGCAACGCUACGGUGAAUACGUUCCCGGGGCUUGUACACACCGCCCGUCACAUCACGAAAGUCGGUAACACCCA
rnacentral:rRNA from 1 species